AUGGUCUGGGAGAUUUGGAGAGAGAGGAACGUGAGGGUUUUCCAAGGAAAAUCGGUCAUGGCCAAUGGGGUCGUCGCCUUGAUAAAAUGUGAAGGGAGAAAUUGGGUUCUUGCGGGGGCAAAAAAAUUGAGUUCGAUCAUGCCACGAGAGUAA
rnacentral:rRNA from 1 species